CAAGGAAUCGUCUAAUU
rnacentral:tRNA from 1 species